UACGUAGGGUGCAAGCGUUGUCCGGAAUUAUUGGGCGUAAAGAGCUCGUAGGCGGUCUGUUGCGUCGGCUGUGAAAACCCGGGGCUCAACUCCGGGCCUGCAGCCGAUACGGGCAGACUAGAAUUCGGUAGGGGAGACUGGAAUUCCUGGUGUAGCGGUGAAAUGCGCAGAUAUCAGGAGGAACACCGGUGGCGAAGGCGGGUCUCUGGGCCGAUAUUGACGCUGAGGAGCGAAAGCGUGGGGAGCGAACAGG
rnacentral:rRNA from 1 species